CAAACGUUGUGCCGAAUUGUUGUAAAAUUGAUGCGCGCUCGCUUGUCCCUCUGACAAAGAAAUAACACACAACGUUCUGUGUUCUGUAUUCUACUCAAAUACGUUACGCGUUUGUUAAUUUAUUUUUUAGUUUCGGUUUUAAUAGAAAAAUUUUUUGCGGCAUUUUUUUAAUAAUAGCAACAAAAAAGCGAAAUAAAAAGUUUAAAAAUAUUUCUGCGACGAAACGUUAAAACGAAACGAAAUUUGUUGAAAAUUAAAAAAGAAAAGAAAAUUUAUGAAAAUUUUUUUGAAAUUAAAAAAAGUUAUUAAUUUAAAAGUUAAAUUUAAUUUAAAGUUUAAACAAAAAGUUUAUACAAAAACCAAUUUUAAACCUCCAAUUGAAAGGAAUUUAAUGAAAAAAAUUUUAAGGCAAAAGCAAAAUAGUAUACGAAGAUUUUGUUAUUAUUUAUUAUUCAAAUAAAUCUAUACUACCAAAGAUUAAUAAGUUAAGUUAAAGCCAAAAACAUCUACAAUUUUUUAAAUUAAAAAAUAACACAUACACAAAUUAAAUAAGUAACGACGUUAAAUUUAAAACAAAAUUAAGAAAUAAGUAAAGAAAAUAGCUAUAAAAUAAAAUAAAUGCAAAUAAAAUUGGCAAACAUUAACAACAUUAUUAGAAAAAACAAGAGAAACUUUUGCAACACACAGUAGAAGGAGAAAUUACAUAAAAAGAAAUUGCAAAUUCUUACAAAAGAAAAUUUCUAUGAUAAUUUCCAUCAACAACUACUCAAACCUACAUUAGCAGUCACAGCCACAUGCAUAUGUGGAACAGUAUAAGAAAUUAAGUCGAGAAGAAGUGCCAGUAAACUGCAGAAGGAGCAGCAGCUCGAUGAAAACAUUAAAAGGCAAAAGGAAUAACGAGAGAACAACAACUGCAAUCAUUACAAUACAUUUACAAACAUUAAGAUAAGCCGUCUUUAAGGAUAAAAACAAGGAAAAACUUGAUGACAUUGUAA